ACAUUGGAACAGGUUCUAAAUAGGACCGUACGCCCUAAAUAUAGACGAAGCUCGUUAUGUGCCGCCCGACUAGCACCCACGGGUGGUAAAGCGAGAGACGCCAAGGUUGCGUGGUCAUUCAUGAUGCAGGCGAGCCUCGCCGGAGCCGCAGAAUGUGCCGGUGCCGGUGCCCACUCCCGGUCGUCAAGGUCCUGGCCUUCCUGACCCUCGCCUUUGUCGGCUACUUCGCGUGGCGCGCAAUGCACGUGCCGCUGAACCGGCUGGACACCUGGGUCGACCCCGACCCCGCCUCCCCGGCGGCGACGCCGGGCUACCGCCCGAUAAUGCUGCGUCGCGGCGGAGUAGACCCUCUGUUCUGAGAUGCAGACGGCAGAGAUUUGGGCGGCGGUUGGCCGUGGCGACCGGUGAUGAUGCCGAGGAUGCAGGCCGCUGGCGGUGAAUGGUGAUGCUUGUGUUGUUCGCGGGGCUGUUGGGGUGGCUGAACAAUCUCUGAUCUUGGUUGCAAUGCUAAUUCUACGUUUGUAGUGGUGAUGAGAAAAGGGCAUCAUCGCCUGAUGUGGUUGAACAGUAUAAUAAGCUUGGGACCAGUU